CCUACGGGAGGCAGCAGUGAGGAAUAUUGGUCAAUGGUCGGGAGACUGAACCAGCCAAGCCGCGUGAGGGAUGAAGGUACAGAGUAUCGUAAACCUCUUUUGUCAGGGAACAAAGGCGGGGACGUGUCCCCGGAUGAGUGUACCUGAAGAAAAAGCAUCGGAUAACUCCGUGCCAGCAGCCGCGGUAAUACGGAGGAUGCGAGCGUUAUCCGGAUUUAUUGGGAUUAAAGGGGGCGCAGGCGGUCUGUUAAGUCAGCGGUAAAAGCCCGGGGCUCAACCCCGGCCCGCCGUUGAAACUGGCAGUCUCGAGUUGGAGAGAAGUAUGCGGAAUGCGCGGUGUAGCGGUGAAAUGCAUAGAUAGCGCGCAGAACUCCGAUUGCGAAGGCAGCAUGCCGGCUCCACACUGACGCUGAGGCACGAAAGCGUGGGUAUCGAACAGGAUUAGAUACCCUUGUAGUC
rnacentral:rRNA from 1 species